rnacentral:SRP_RNA from 1 species
GCCGGGCAUGGUGGUGCACGCCUGUAGUCCCAGCUACUUGGGAGGCUGAGGCAGGAGAAUCGCUUGACACUGGGAGGCAGAGGUUGCAGUGAGCCGAUUGCGCCACUGCACUCUAGCCUGGUGACAGAGCGAGACUCUGUCUCAAAAAAAAAAAAAAAAAAACCUAUAUCUCAGUUUUUUGUUUUGUUUUGUUUUGUUUUUUGAGAUGGAGUCUCACUCUGUCACCCAGGCUGGAGUGCAGUGGUGCAAACUCAGUUCACUGCAACUUCUGCCUCCUGGGGUCAAGCGAUUCUCCUGCCUCAG